AGACUGUCCAUUGCAUUUCUUGUGAUCGC
rnacentral:piRNA from 1 species